CCCUUAGAUGUUCUGGGCCGCACGCGCGCUACACUGAUGCAUUCAACGAGUUUCUUCCUGGUCCGAGAGGAAUGGGUAACCUUUUGAAAGUGCAUCGUGAUAGGGAUAGACUAUUGCAAUUAUUGGUCUUCAACGAGGAAUUCCUAGUAGACGUAGUUCAUCAGACUGCAUCGAUUACGUCCCUGCCCUUUGUACACACCGCCCGUCGCUCCUACCGAUUGAAUGCUCAGGUGAGCCAUUCGGACUUUCAUCAUGCUGGUUUCCAGUUUGGAUGAAGGAAAGUCUUGCGAACCUUAUCAUUUAGAGGAAGGAGAAGUCGUAACA
rnacentral:rRNA from 1 species